rnacentral:rRNA from 1 species
CCUACGGGGGGCAGCAGUGGGGAAUAUUGGACAAUGGGGGGAACCCUGAUCCAGCCAUGCCGCGUGUGUGAAGAAGGCCCUCGGGUUGUAAAGCACUUUCAGUGAGGAAGAACGCCUGGUGGUUAAUACCCAUCAGGAAAGACGUCACUCACAGAAGAAGCACCGGCUAACUCCGUGCCAGCAGCCGCGGUAAUACGGAGGGUGCGAGCGUUAAUCGGAAUUACUGGGCGUAAAGCGCGCGUAGGUGGCUUGAUAAGCCGGUUGUGAAAGCCCCGGGCUCAACCUGGGAACGGCAUCCGGAACUGUCAAGCUAGAGUGCAGGAGAGGAAGGUAGAAUUCCCGGUGUAGCGGUGAAAUGCGUAGAGAUCGGGAGGAAUACCAGUGGCGAAGGCGGCCUUCUGGACUGACACUGACACUGAGGUGCGAAAGCGUGGGUAGCAAACAGGAUUAGAUACCCGAGUAGUC